UGGGGAAUAUUGGGCAAUGGGCGCAAGCCUGACCCAGCAACGCCGCGUGAAGGAAGAAGGCUUUCGGGUUGUAAACUUCUUUUCUCAGGGACGAAGCAAGUGACGGUACCUGAGGAAUAAGCCACGGCUAACUACGUGCCAGCAGCCG
rnacentral:rRNA from 1 species